UACGUAGGUGACCAGCGUUGUCCGGAUUUACUGGGCGUAAAGAGCGCGCAGGCGGUCGAUCAAGUCGAGUGUGAAAGCCCCCGGCUCAACUGGGGAGGGUCAUUCGAUACUGAUCGACUCGAAGGCAGGAGAGGGUAGUGGAAUUCCCGGUGUAGUGGUGAAAUGCGUAGAUAUCGGAAGGAACAUCAGUGGCGAAAGCGGCUUCCUGGACCAGUACCGACGUUCAGGCACGAAAGCGUGGGGAGCAAACAGG
rnacentral:rRNA from 1 species